UACGAAGGGGGCUAGCGUUGUUCGGAAUUACUGGGCGUAAAGCGCACGUAGGCGGACAUUUAAGUCAGGGGUGAAAUCCCGGAGCUCAACUCCGGAACUGCCUUUGAUACUGGGUGUCUUGAAUGUGGAAGAGGUGAGUGGAAUUCCGAGUGUAGAGGUGAAAUUCGUAGAUAUUCGGAGGAACACCAGUGGCGAAGGCGGCUCACUGGUCCAUUACUGACGCUGAGGUGCGAAAGCGUGGGGAGCAAACAGG
rnacentral:rRNA from 1 species